GCCUCGGUGGCUCAGUCGGUAGAGCGUGCGCUUGGUAAGCGCAAGGUCGGGGGUUCGAUUCCCCCCCGAGGCU
rnacentral:tRNA from 1 species